ACCCCUAAACCGCUCGGAUGUCUUCCGUCACCACCCAUGCCUCCACCAUCACCUCCCUCGCUCCGUCGACGCGUGCCACCACCACCACCACCUCCUCUACCUUCUACACGAGGAAAGGGGCUUUGCUACUAGGCAAACACUCUUCUCAAUCUCUUCCAAUCAUAAAGGUUAGGGUUCUGUUAUACUGGGAGUUUUCGAGGUAGAGAUGGAGGUUUCAGAAGAAGUGAGAGAAAUAAGCAGUAGUAAUAGCGCGAUGUGCCUUUUGACUGACCCUGAAGGGGAGCCCCUUGGUGCUCCUCUCUAUCUCCCACAGAAUGCUGGACCACCACAGCUCCAGGAAAUAGUCAACAAACUGCUGAAGAAUGGCCACAAGAAAUGGAUUACUGGUAUUUCCUGGGAGCCUGUGCAUUUGCAAGCUCCUUGUGGCUGUUUUGUUAGUUCCAGCAAGGAUGGGGAUGCACGUAUUUGGGAUAUUUCUUUGAGCAAGUGUGUUGUUUGUCUCUCUGGUCACACUCUGGCUGUUACCUGUGUAAAGUGGGGUGGUGAUGCCAUGAUAUACACAAGAUACUACAAAAUUAACCUUAAAGUAUGAUGGAUGCAUUAGCUUAUGGAGUAAAUGGGUGAACGUAGUGGACGAGACUCUUGCCGGAGUAAUUGCAUUAGCUUAAACAAGAUCUUCCAGGUCAUGUAGAUGAGGUUUUCUGUGUGGAUUGGAGUCCAGAUGGUGAAAAAGUAGCAUCUGGUGGCAAGGAUAGGCUAUUAAAGUUAUGGAUGAACUAGGCAAUAGCAAAAUCAAUGAAGGUUCUGGUAUGAUACAAUUUGGAUUAUACUUGCACUUCCUACACCAUAAAUAAUUACUGCUUUCUUCGACUUGAUUGUUAUCUCAAUUUGCUUGUACAGCUAGCCCUUAUUUUAUGCGGUGGUAUGACAGAUUGCAUGCCCAGUUAAUAUGUUUAUCUGUUAAUUAAUCAUACCAUUGUUACACAGCUGCUGGCUGUACAAUAAGCUCUUUGUCAGCAAUUUCUGUUCAUGGAAGACGGCAGAUAUUUAAUUAUGUGCCUACAAGAGCUCGGUAUCAGUGGGAGUUCAUCUGUGCAAGAAGAUAUAAGUGCAAGAAAACACACUUCAAAGUUCAAUGAUCAUUGAUGCAUGCAAUAUCCAAAAAUGCUUCUUAAGUGAGUAUAGUCAUGGUACUAGUCAGAUCCCCAUGCUCUACAAAUUUGAUGCAUGGUGCAAUUUUUCCAUACGAAAUCCGUGCUGGCAAAGAUAUGUGCAAUCAUGGUUUUGCCUCCCAACUUGAUAUGUUUUCUUUCCCAUUGCUUGAUCAUCACAUUCUUCUCAAGCUAAUGUCUACAAAACUUGCAAAACCAUCGUCUGUUCACACUUAUGGUUUUCUAUCCUCUCUGUUUGAACUCCCACAAGUCAAUCUUAAUGUACUGUGAUUGUUUGUAUUGGGACAAUAUGGAUCCUUUGACAAAAUGUUGAUGGCUUCUUUUUCUCA